GGUACAGCCGGCUUCCCUCCGCCGGGGGGGACAAACUGCUCCGAGUAUGUGCUGAUGAGGUGCUGAGGACUCAUCUUUUCUCACCGUUCCCUGGAGAACCAACCGUCCACGUCUGCUCCACGAUCUGCUUUAACUUUGACACUCGAAGGGUCUCUGUGACAGCACCAGGCUGUUUGUCCCCCUACAGUGGCUCGCUGGCAUGUUUAACAGCCAAACUCCAGUCAGGUCCAAGGCAACAGAUGUACAGUAGGAGGGUGGGCGGGCCAAGGCGGGCGAUAGCAACCGCACAGCGUAGACCAGCUGAGCCCAACAGGGACAGAAGCAGGCCGUUUCCUCAGACUUCAAAGCGCUGGUCACAGUCCCAGAACUCAAAGACCAACACUCAUC